GACGAACCGUGCGAACGUUGUUCGGAAUCACUGGGCUUAAAGGGCGCGUAGGCGGGCCUGCAAGUCAGGGGUGAAAGCCCACGGCUCAACCGUGGAAGUGCCUUUGAUACUGCGGGCCUCGAGCGAGGUAGGGGCGUGCGGAACUUCCGGUGGAGCGGUGAAAUGCGUAGAUAUCGGAAGGAACACCGGUGGCGAAAGCGGCGCGCUGGACCUCUUCUGACGCUGAGGCGCGAAAGCCAGGGGAGCAAACGGG
rnacentral:rRNA from 1 species